rnacentral:rRNA from 1 species
CCUACGGGAGGCAGCAGUGAGGAAUAUUGGUCAAUGGGCUUACGCCUGAACCAGCCAAGUCGCGUGAGGGAAGACUGCCCUAUGGGUUGUAAACCCCUUUUGUCAGGGAGCAAUUGGCGCUACGUGUAGCGUUAUCGAGAGUACCUGAAGAAAAAGCAUCGGCUAACUCCGUGCCAGCAGCCGCGGUAAUACGGAGGAUGCGGGCGUUAUCCGGAUUUAUUGGGUUUAAAGGGUGCGUAGGCGGAAUGCCAAGUCAGCGGUAAAAUCGCGGGGCUCAACCUCGCUCCGCCGUUGAAACUGGCGUGCUUGAGUGGGCGAGAAGUAUGCGGAAUGCGUGGUGUAGCGGUGAAAUGCAUAGAUAUCACGCAGAACUCCGAUUGCGAAGGCAGCAUACCGGCGCCCGACUGACGCUGAGGCACGAAAGCGUGGGUAUCGAACAGGAUUAGAUACCCCUGUAGUC